CACUCUAACUCACUGGGUCAUUUUUACUUUCAACUUUUUCGCCAACUGCUAGAUUCCCACACAGUCUCUCCAAGCAAGUUGUGUCGUGGAUGUGGUCCAUAAUGGGGAUGCCUGGGGGUUUGUUGUUGUUCCUAAUUUUGCACAUUUGUACAGGAAGCAUUUCAGGGACACUUGUCACCAGUUGCGAUUCAUGUCAUGAUGACGCUGCCUGCCUGGAGUCACAAGAAAGAGGCGACUCUUUCAUCAAGCACAUGGUCUCUUGUGUUUGUAAAGAUGGCUUUGUAGGCGAUGGUCUCGCCUGUUACAAUACAAAACUCUGCAGUGACUCUUCUUGCUGUAGCCAAGGUUAUCACUGGUCACCAGAAAGGGGCUGUGUGGACACCGAUGAGUGCUCCCUCCCAGACUCACCUUGCAUACCACCUCAGGUUUGCCAAAACACCGAAGGAUCUUUUCAAUGCCUGGAGCCCUCCUCCAGCCCCAGAUCGGGCCCCUCUUCCCAGUCUGUCCAGUUCAACUGUGGA